rnacentral:lncRNA from 1 species
AUGUGUGUGUUUGGUCGUGAUUUACAGGAGCCAAGAAAAGGGCUCUUACAAAGCCCUAAAACUCACAAGAAAUCCAACAAAAAUCGAAGAUAGAACAAGCUAAAAAUUGGGGCUUUUAAUAAAUUUGUGAUCACCCAAGCUAGAAGAUUGCAAGUGGGUUUAUGACAAAUCUUUGAUUUGUAUGAAAUUAAACAUGAUGGUUUUGACUCUGACAAGCUAGGUAGGAGCUUGGAAAUGAACGGGUCAAAUGGAUACAAGUUCAAGUAUGAAGCUCGCAAGGAUGCAAGGUAAGUAUAACUUACACUAGUCAUAUAUUUUAGAAUGUUCUUUUGUCGUAUUGACUACGAAUAAGACAAAUGGUAAUUUAGUCACACGUUGACAAUAAUCGUUAGUUUUAAAAGACGCUUUCCCGCGUAAGACAUAAAGAGCCGAAAGUGGUAAUAAACGGUUUAUAAAUAAAAUGAGCAUACGGUGUUAAAAGGAACGAGUCAUGUAGAUGAGAUGAUAAUAAAUAUUAUCUCGCAAAGAUAAACGGUCAAUUCGGCCAAGGGGGUCAAAAGGUGUAGACAUCACCUUUUGACAAUAUCGACUAAUGAUUCUGGUGUCGAGUUAUAUGUUUACAGGAGUAGAUAUCCAAUGGAUACUCGCAUCGCUCUUAAUUAGCAAUUAUAAAGCAAGGUAUUAAACCGGGUUAGUAAGUUGAUCCGAGCCAGGUAUGUAUAAUAGAUUAACUCAUCAUGUAGAAUUUGAAGUUCUAUGAAAGUUAGGCAAAAUAAAAAAAGGGCAUUCGGUUACCUUAAUAGGUAAACUAAAAGAUUUAAAUUAUUUAGACAGAAUGUUUUGAAAACAAGAUUUGGUUAAAAAUGAGAAAUUAGAAUCAAACAACAGGUUUAUUUGAUAAAAUCACGAACGGGUCAAAUUUGGUAAAAAGGGGUAAUAAGCCGAAGACUUAAAAGUCUUAAAUUUUGUUAAUCCAGAUGUUGGGUCUUGACUCAUUUGAUGGAGGUUCAAUUUACAAUCACGUAGGAAGAAACGGUAGGUCAAACGGAGAAGCGGAUUAAAAGUUAUGAAGGUUUCCGUUUUAGAAAUCGGCAAACUUGGAAAAUCUUGCAGAGGCCACCGUAAGUUACGGUAGCUACCGUAACUUACGGUAGCCUUAAAAAUCUUUACGCUUUAAACCCACUGAGUUACGGUGGAAGAAUCAACAUUCAGGGGCUACCAUAAAUUACGGUAGCCACCGUAAUUUACGGUAGACCCUGUAACAAAAUUUAUUUUAAUCAGUUUCGUUUCCCAGAACUCGUUAGACACGUUUAUAACCCCCGUAAGACUAAAGCAUUUCUUGUUUAUGAAAUGUAGGUACAUUUUGAAUGCCGGAAGACGAUUAAGCUCAUUGGAGAACCGAAUACGAUAAAGAUACAUGCUUCCGCACAGUGUCCCGUCGUAAAUUUUAAACGACGAAUUCAAUUACGUUAUGUCGAAUAACUUAUGAUUUGUAAAAGUUUUAAUAAACCCAUAUUUUUAUAGUAUGUGUAGUCUUAUCUACACAACUAAUUGUUGGUAAUUAUAUGUAAAACCGUUAAAUAGUAAUUAGGGUGUUACAGUUU